rnacentral:rRNA from 1 species
UACGUAGGGGGCAAGCGUUGUCCGGAUUUAUUGGGUUUAAAGGGUGCGUAGGUGGGCAGGUAAGUCAGUGGUGAAAUCUCCGAGCUUAACUCGGAAACUGCCGUUGAUACUAUUUGUCUUGAAUAUUGUGGAGGUAAACGGAAUAUGUCAUGUAGCGGUGAAAUGCUUAGAUAUGACAUAGAACACCAAUUGCGAAGGCAGCUUACUACACAACGAUUGACGCUGAGGCACGAAAGCGUGGGGAUCAAACAGG